rnacentral:lncRNA from 1 species
UCAUUGAUUUGUUGGUGCAACUUGCCAUCGUCAGCUUGUUGUACUGUCACACCCCAACAGUUCCAUAUCAGAUAGGAAUAGGAAUAUGAUUGGGUAUAUACACUACAACAAAAACGGUCUAUAGCGACACUUUUUGUUAUAUUUGGUUUAGAUUUGUAGUUAUCUAAAUUAAGGAUAAAUCCUAAUCUAAUUGGGAUUAGAUAUUAUUUAGAUUUAAUUUGGCAUAUAUGGAUUAUAAUUAGGAGUGUAAUUCUAAUCUAAUUAGAAUUAGACUCUAGUUAUGAGACAUGUAUUAUAAAUACAUGCUACGGCCAAAUUAAAGGAGCCGCGACCAAAUUUGAGAAGCCAUGCAAAUUAAUUA